CCUACGGGCGGCUGCAGUGGGGAAUAUUGGACAAUGGGGGCAACCCUGAUCCAGCCAUGCCGCGUGUGUGAAGAAGGCCCUCGGGUUGUAAAGCACUUCCAGUGAGGAAGAACGCCUGGUGGUUAAUACCCAUCAGGAAAGACAUCACUCACAGAAGAAGCACCGGCUAACUCCGUGCCAGCAGCCGCGGUAAUACGGAGGGUGCGAGCGUUAAUCGGAAUUACUGGGCGUAAAGCGCGCGUAGGUGGCUUGAUAAGCCGGUUGUGAAAGCCCCGGGCUCAACCUGGGAACGGCAUCCGGAACUGUCAAGCUAGAGUGCAGGAGAGGAAGGUAGAAUUCCCGGUGUAGCGGUGAAAUGCGUAGAGAUCGGGAGGAAUACCAGUGGCGAAGGCGGCCUUCUGGACUGACACUGACACUGAGGUGCGAAAGCGUGGGUAGCAAACAGGAUUAGAUACCCGAGUAGUC
rnacentral:rRNA from 1 species